rnacentral:tRNA from 1 species
AAAGUGGUAGUUUAAUAAAAACAUCAAGUUGCAAUCUUGAAAAUGUGAAAUGUACCCACUUUU